rnacentral:rRNA from 1 species
UACGGGGGGGGCAAGCGUUGUUCGGAAUUACUGGGCGUAAAGGGCUCGUAGGCGGCCAACUAAGUCAGACGUGAAAUCCCUCGGCUUAACCGGGGAACUGCGUCUGAUACUGGAUGGCUCGAGUUUGGGAGAGGGAUGCGGAAUUCCAGGUGUAGCGGUGAAAUGCGUAGAUAUCUGGAGGAACACCGGUGGCGAAGGCGGCAUCCUGGACCAACACUGACGCUGAGGAGCGAAAGCCAGGGGAGCAAACGGG